rnacentral:rRNA from 1 species
UACAGAGGGUGCGAGCGUUAAUCGGAAUUACUGGGCGUAAAGCGCGCGUAGGCGGUUUUGCAAGUCGGGUGUGAAAUCCCCAGGCUUAACCUGGGAACUGCGUGUGAUACUGGAUGGCUUGAAUCCGGGAGAGGGAUGCAGAAUUCCAGGUGUAGCGGUGAAAUGCGUAGAUAUCUGGAGGAACACCGGUGGCGAAGGCGGCAUCCUGGACCGGCAUUGACGCUGAGGAGCGAAAGCCAGGGGAGCAAACGGG